GGAGGGUGCAAGCGUUGUUCGGAAUUAUUGGGCGUAAAGAGCGUGUAGGCGGUCCGGUAAGUCAGAUGUGAAAGCCCUGGGCUCAACCCAGGAAGUGCAUUUGAAACUACCAGACUUGAGUACGGGAGAGGAGGGGGGAAUUCCCGGUGUAGAGGUGAAAUUCGUAGAUAUCGGGAGGAAUACCAGUGGCGAAGGCGCCCCUCUGGACCGAUACUGACGCUGAGACGCGAAAGCGUGGGGAGCAAACAGGAUUAGAUACCCUGGGUAGUCCACGCCGUAAACGAUGAGCACUAGGUGUAGCGGGUAUUGACCCCCCUGCUGUGCCGUAGCUAACGCAUUAAGUGCUCCGCCUGGGGACUACGGUCGCAAGACUA
rnacentral:rRNA from 1 species